GUUUGAAUAGCUCAGUUGGUAGAGCAGAGGACUGAAAAUCCUCGUGUCAGUGGUUCAAGUCCACUUUCAGACA
rnacentral:tRNA from 1 species